rnacentral:rRNA from 1 species
UACGUAGGGUGCAAGCGUUUGUCCGGAAUUAUUGGGCGUAAAGAGCUCGUAGGCGGUCUGUCGCGUCGGCUGUGAAAACUCGGGGCUCAACCCCGAGCCUGCAGUCGAUACGGGCAGACUAGAGUGCUGUAGGGGAGACUGGAAUUCCUGGUGUAGCGGUGAAAUGCGCAGAUAUCAGGAGGAACACCGGUGGCGAAGGCGGGUCUCUGGGCAGUAACUGACGCUGGAGGAGCGAAAGCGUGGGGGAGCGAACAGG